rnacentral:lncRNA from 1 species
AGGAACACAAAUCAUGUGUGCAUGAGAAUGCUGCCCAAACCAUUUGAGUUUUGUGGUUUGUUAUUUAGACACGCUUAUGUUCUCAAAAGUCAAAACACUUGGAGGCAAGGGCCCGUUUGGUGGCCAAGAUUAGGAGAUUAUCAUAUCCUACUCAAGUCUAUUGUUUGAUGCACCUAUAGGAUAUGAUAAACUAACCAUAUCAUUAAUUCUAUCUUAUUUGUCUUGCGUUGCUCUUCCUCUCUAGUCGUCUCGCGUUUGCAACCAUUGUGUCUCUCCAUCUAAUACAAUGCAUUUUUCUUUUCUUUUUUCUCUUCAUUUUCCCUCUUUAUAAUGGUUCUUGUUUAAGAGAAAUCGAUACUAGGUUUUACUCGUAAAUGAUUCUCCUCUUUGCCCGGAUUCCUAGUAAUGCGUAGAAUUGAUUUCAGAGCAAUUGGUUCAAGAUGAAAUUGAUUAUAUUUUUAUCUCGUGUUCACAGAUGGGAGAUGGGUCUUGUCUUCCUCAACUAUGCAUAUUUCCCUGUUUACUACCGGUUCUCAUUCACAGUUGUAUAUCUUUGACUAUGAGUAGUCUUCAUUUACUACCGGUUCUCGUUCACAAUUGUUGAUUUUUUAUACAAAAAUUAUGGCGUGUUGAAGUUACUUGUUCUGCACAGUGUAUUGUACAUCUUUGACUAUGAGUGGUUUUCAUUUGUUCUGCAACUUGAUUUACAUUUUGAAUUUAUGUGUGAAUUUGAUUAUUCAAAUUGAAGUGAAUUCUCCUUAAUAGUGUAUGAAAUUGGUAUAGUAUUAAUAAUAAAUAGAUAGAUAGAUAUCCUUCAGAUAGAUAGCAGCAGAGUUAUUGCAUCGAGUAUAGGAUUGGUAAUAAUAUGGUUUGUUUUACUUGGGCAAUUUGGAAAUUGAGAAACCAGAUCAUUUACACCAAAACUAGUUUGACCAGUUGAUUAAGAAUGUGAAGAUUAUGGUUUGGUGUUGGCUAAAAGCGAAAAUUGAAGGUUUUAAUUAUGUGUUGAAUGAACCAAUGGGGUUUUAAUCUUUUGGUGAGUUUGGGAGCUAAAAGAUGGAAAAGCUAG